GACGUAGGGCGCGAGCGUUGUCCGGAUUUAUUGGGCGUAAAGAGCUCGUAGGCGGCUUGUCGCGUCGACUGUGAAAACUUGGGGGCUCAACUCUAAGCUUGCAGUCGAUACGGGCAGGCUAGAGUUCGGUAGGGGAGACUGGAAUUCCUGGUGUAGCGGUGAAAUGCGCAGAUAUCAGGAAGAACACCAAUGGCGAAGGCAGCUCUCUGGGACGGUACUGACGCUGAGACGCGAAAAGCGUGGGGGAGCAAACAGG
rnacentral:rRNA from 1 species